rnacentral:rRNA from 1 species
UACGUAGGGGCAAGCGUUAUCCGGAUUUAUUGGGUUUAAAGGGUGCGCAGGCGGGAGAUUAAGUCGGCGGUGAAAUUUUGCAGCUCAACUGUAAAAGUGCCUUCGAUACUGGUUUCCUUGAGUGUGGAUGAAGUAGGCGGAAUUUGUGGUGUAGCGGUGAAAUGCAUAGAUAUCACGAGGAACUCCGAUUGCGCAGGCAGCUUACUAAACUACUACUGACGCUCAGGCACGAAGGCGUGGGGAUCAAACAGGAUUAGAUACCCUGGUA